CCUGGAAUAUGUACUUCCUGGCCCUUUAUAGAAACAAUUUGCCAACUCCUGUAAUAGGCCUAGGUCAGUAUUAAAAGGAAAGUUGGAAUAACUUCAACCUAUAUAAAGGUGAAGCUAGAUCAGACUGAGAAACAGAAUUCUGAGCUAGAAGAAAUUGGGAAGGCAUACCACUGAGUCCCAUCAUGACAUGGUUCAGGCCUUCAUCCUCUCAUCUGGAAGGAUCCCAGCAGGCUGGGAACCUGUUCCAGCCUCUCAUCUUGACACAUGUACUGCAUGCCUACAGUCCAAUCCACUGCUUCCUGCCACCCUCACACAACUGUGCCAAGGUUAUCUUUGUAAAAGGAAACUGUGGUUACAUUACUUUCCUGCUUAUAGCCUCCAGGGCCUCUGGAUAGUCUAUGGUAGUGGUCCUCGUUCUGUGCUUUGAGGAGUUCUGGAUUCCUUGGAGGAAUGUGUAAGCCCAGAGUCACAGAUGGCUGUGUUUUUCCAUCCGGGCCACUCAAUCUGAUGGCAAUGCACCAUUUUGAAGAAGAGUUCUCUGCUAUUGCCCAUGAUAUUUCCUCCCAAGUUGUUGACACCCGUCUGCAAAUUUUGAUGCUGGUGAUAAUUUCUCCAGUGAAGACUAUUUGCUUCAUUGAUGUCAAAUUACUGCCCUACUGCUCUUAUUUUUUGCCUUUUCGUGCACAUAGAUUUUUGUUUUAAUAUGGAAUAAAAUCAUCUCUUCAAGUAUAUUUUAAAGGCAGUUAAACUCAGUAUGUGUAAUACUAAUCAUAUAACCUAAUGAACUAAAAUGGUGAUAGUGUGUACAACUCUGAGCCCACAUGUGACCGUAGUAGCAUCUACAUUGCAACUGCCACCACCUGGCUGGCAACAAUUUUAAGAUGCAUUCUGAUAUAAAAGAUGUUAAAAUCUGAAAAGUACAUUGUAUCUGGAAUUGGUGGGUUCUUGGUCUCGCUGACUUCAACAAUGAAGCUGUGGACCCUUGCGGUGUUACAGUUCUUAAACAUGGUGUUUCCAGAGUUUGUUCCUUCAGAUGUUCAGAUGUGUCUGCAGUUUCUUCCUUCCGGUGGGUUCGUGGUCUCGCUGACUUCAGGAGUGAAGCUGUAGACCUUCACAGUGAGUGUUACAGCUCUUAAAAGUGGCACGUCUGGAGUCGUUCAUGCUUCCCAGUGGGUUUGUGCUCUCACUGGCUUCAGCAGUGAAGCUGCAGACCUUUGCGGUGAGUGUUACAGCUCACAAAGGAGGCGUGGACCCGAAGAGUGAGCAGCAGUAAGAUUUAUUGUAAAAAGUGAGAAAACAAAGCUUCCACAGUGUAGAAGGCGAUCUGUGCUGGUUGCCACUGCUGGCUUAGGCAGCCUGCUUUUAUUCCCUUAUCUGACCCCACCCACAUCCUGCUGAUUGGUCCAUUUUACAGAGAGCUGAUUGGUCUAUUUUACAGAGAGCUGAUUGGUCCAUUUUACAGAGAGCUAAUUAGUCCGUUUUGACAGACUGCUGAUUGGUGCAUUUACAAUCCCUGAACUAGACACAGAGUGCUGAUUGGUGCAUUUACAAUCCUUUAGCUAGACACCCAGUGCUAGAAAGAAAAGUUCUCCAAGUCCUCACUAGAUUAGCUAGAUACAGAGUACUGACUGGUGUAUUUACAAACCUUGAGCUAGCCACAGGGUGCUGCUUGGUGCAUUUACAAUCCCUGAGCUAGACACAGGGUGCUGAUUGGUGCAUUUACAAUCCUUUAGCUAGACACAGAGUGCUAGACAGAAAAGUUCCCCAAGUCCCCACUAGAUUAGCUAGAUACAGAGUACUGACUGGUGUAUUUACAAACCUUGAGCUAGACACAGGGCGCUGAUUGGUGUAUUCACAAUCCCUUAGCUAGACAUAAAGGUUCUCCAAGUCCCCAUUAGACUCAGGAGCCCAGUUGGCUUCACCUAGUGGAUCCUGUGCCAGGGCUGCAGGCAGAGCUGCCUGCCAGUCCCGCACCGUGCCUGCACU
ensembl:lncRNA